UGGGCAAGACUAAAUAGGAUGAGCCUUUUAUCCAAACAACAUGGUUGUUUGUGAUGGGCCAACUACCCUUUCUUCUUAUUACGCAGACCUAAUAUUCUAAGUGAAAUGUUGUUUUCUGAAGGAGCUGAAAGUCUUGGAUGUUGCACAUUGUUGAAGCUGUGUUAUUGGGAAUAACUUAUCUACUCUUAGUGUGCACUGAAAAGAACGUGCAGGGUUUAAAUGCAUAAAGAAGCACAGCCAGCUUGUUUUCAGGAUAGGUGACAACUUUUGGAUGGCCCCUCGAGAAAUGGUUGAUGUGCACAGUUAAAGGAGCUGCUCCAAGAACUCCAGGGUGACCCUUAACAGAAUAACAGAGUUGGAAAGGAUCUUGAAAAUACCAAGGAUUGAAGCUGAAGAUCUGUCAUAUGCAAAGCCUUUGUUCUACCACUGAGUUGCAAUCAUUCUCAGUGGGAAUAUAAUAAGAAGCUCUUCAUACCGGCUCAGAAAUGCGGCUCAUUUAAUACAUUGUUCUUUAACUAUACUGUACUAAUAA